UACAGAGGGGGCAAGCGUUGUUCGGAAUUACUGGGCGUAAAGGGCGCGUAGGCGGCCCGCUAAGUCGAACGUGAAAUCCCCAGGCUCAACCUGGGAACUGCGUCCGAUACUGGCAGGCUUGAAUCCGGGAGAGGGAUGUGGAAUUCCAGGUGUAGCGGUGAAAUGCGUAGAUAUCUGGAGGAACACCGGUGGCGAAGGCGGCAUCCUGGACCGGUACUGACGCUGAGGUGCGAAAGCGUGGGGAGCAAACAGG
rnacentral:rRNA from 1 species